UGAGAACUGUGCCUUCCUGCAAUGAUUCACUUGACUGUGUAAGUGACAGAUGUGACUGCAGUGGUAUAUCUAACAGCAUCUAAACACUUAAUGACACAGACCUGCUCUGCCCAACACUGGUAGGUCUGCUUCUAGGAAAAAGCUUCGCACAAGGUUGUUCACGGCUUUCCUCUCCUAAAAGACUGAAAGCUGAUGCUGCAGCACAUUGCAAUGACAGUGACAAUUGUAGCAGAGAGCACUGAUGGAGUUUGCCUUGACCUAGGUGGGGAAGGUAAGACCUACUGAACAAUGUCUGCUACCAUUGUCUGUGUGGACCGUCAUGUUGGAGUUGGAGGUCCUAUUUCUGUGUUGACAAGGCUGUAGCCCUUGCGGGUUGACAUGUACUUGGUAUCUGUGCUUUGUCUGUGGGCAGAACAUACCCCUAAGGUGAGAGGAGAUCUGGAUGACCUUGUCUUUCACAAACUGCUGUGGUGAGCCUUCAUCCCUAAGGGCUCAAUUUAUGUAAACUACCAAGUGCCUCUGAGUCUAAUUGAUUUCCUCUAGCAACUCCAAAAAGAUGUAAUAACAAUUUUUGGGGGUCAAUUUUGGGAUCCCUCUUCACACACGAACUGCAGUAUCCAGUAAAAUUUCCUGAGAUGCAUAUAAGCUAACUCCCCAGGUGUGAAUUUCUGGGUGCAGGUAACAGAAGGUUCUUAGUGGAAAGUCCCCGGGAUAUUGACUCAUUUCCUCUUUUUUCCAUUAGGGUCCAGAUUUUCUGACUUUCAGUGUGCAUAGCCAGGAAUACUUAUUUAAUUUAACAUUCCUGUGCCUGGGCAAAAUGCCAGGAGGAAAAGAAUUUGUUUUAUCAGUGGGAGGGGUUGGCAGAUGGUGGCACGGCUUUGGGCAUUUGCCAGUGGUUGACAAUAUCAUUUGUUUAUUUUUCUUUAACUGUGCACUCUGCCUACACAUGGGAUUAUGAUAAUGGGGGCAAAUAUAAAUGAAUAGUGAUGAAGGAGAUCAGCUUCUAAGAUCCCCAUUAGGAUGGAAGGGUGUUAAACUUACAGCCUACAGACAUCUGCCUUGACUCCAUGCAGCCUAUUAACCGCAUGCACACACAUUUUUUUAAAGUAUCAAACUCCUGCCCAGGAAGAGUUUCCCUUCAAGGCUAGUAUGAAGUAUUUAAGUUUAUAUCAGUGGGAUUUAAGCACAUGCUUGUUUCCUGAAGUAGGACUUUGCUAAGUUUCAUUCUUUUCAACUAAGUCUCUGGACUGCUGUGUAUUCUUCAGAGAGAAAAUGCAGCCAGAAAGUCAGGAUUUCCACUGAGAUGAUCUCCUUAAUCCAGUCACUGGAUUUCCAAGCAGGCUACAGUUGCAUUUGAAAAUGGCCAAAAAUAAAGGAAAAAGGUGUUAUUUUCAUAACGUAUGGUGGAAUAAAUGCUAUAAGUACGGUCACCAGUGAAUGAAAAACACUUGAUGUUAUUCAAGUUAUGUUUUGCCAAACAUAUACUUCUAAGUAAGAGUAAAGGUAUAGUAAGUAAAGAAUUUAAUAAAGAGCUUGUUCAUUUAAUAAGAACUAGACUAGUUAUAUACACAGUUCAAUAUGCAAAGGAAAAUCUCAUGUGGUAUGAGUAAAGAUCACGCAGUUGGGCUUUUAAGUCAUCAACUAGAUAUGGCAUCUAAAUCACAUACUUUAAGUAAAGAGAGGCCAGUUAUUUCUCCUGCUAUGACAUUGUUUGAAAUUGUUCCAGAGCUUGCAAGCUUAUGACACUCCAGGAAAUCAGCACACAUUAUAGUAGCACUUCACAGCUCAAUGUUGCCCAGAAUAUGGACUUGGGUCAAAACAGUCUCAUGCAGUGGUAGAGGUUUGGGGAAUGGUGGCUGGAAAGUUGCCUGACAGAAAAGGCCCUGGGGCUGCUGGCCAACAGCUGGCUGAACAUGAGCCAGCAGUGUGCCCAGGUGUGAAAGAAGGCCAACAGCAUCCAGCAUCUUGGCUUAUAUCGGAAACAGUGUGACCAGCAGGACUAGGGAAGAGAUCAUUCCUCUGUACUUGGCACUGGUGAGACCGCACUGUGAGUAUUGUGCUCAGUUUCGGGCCCCUCACUACAGAAGGGAUAUUGAGUUGCUGGAAUGCAUUAAGACAAAAGCAGUGAAGCUGGUAAAGAGCUAGUAAGCAAGAAUUAUGAGGAGUGGUUGAAAGAGCUGGGACUGUUUAAUCUGGAGGAGGCUGAAGGGAGGCCACACAGUUCUCUACAACUACUUGAAAGGAGGUUAUAGCAAGGUGGUCUCUUUCUUUAGGUGACAAAUGAUGGGACAUGAGACAAUGGCUUCGAGUUGAACCAGGGAAGGAUAGAUUAGAUAGUAAGAAGUUAUUCACGUAGAGAGUGGUCAAACAUUGGAAUGAGCUGGCCGGAGGAAUGGUUAUAUUUAAGAAAUGUGUGGAUAUGGAACUAAGAGACAUGGUUUAGGGGUGGACUUGUUAGCAUUCGGUGAUGGUUGGACUUGAUGAUCUUAAAGGUCUUUUCCAAUCUAAGUUCUUCUAUGACUCUUAUAUGGUGCAGCAGCCUCCUGGGAAAAAAAAAAAUCGUUGCUACUAGUGUUCAUUAAAAUGUCAUCAAUGCUUUCAUCUGAAAUACAGCUCCAUAAGUUAGCCACUUGCAUGUACUUUUUCCACUGUGCUUUCUUGUGUAAAGUUGAUUAUUAGAAAAGUUUGCAAAGAAUAAGCUUCACCCUAGCUUUUAAUAUGCAGAGACUCCUUUGUUUUUCUUUUGUAUGUGACAGGCAGUGCUUCAGUUUCAGAAACUUUAGGUGGAUUUCUUUUGAGCACAUGCUCAGAUCAUAAUUCCUAUAAUAAUCUAGCUGACGCACACAGUACAGUAUGCAGCUAGCAGUGUCUUGUGCAGCUAAACCUUGUGUUUCCUUCAUGGUGGUCAAUAUUCUAGAUUUAAGGGCCAAGUAUUCUGGUUGGAUUACACCUGUUGUUACAAAUUAUGUUCAAGUAAAUCAUGUGAUGCUCCAUCAUACAGUCAGGUGAUCGUUGUUCUGCAUCACUGGAGAUGUUAUACAACCACAGUGGCAGCCCAGCACUAAGAGAGCAGGGUACUUGUUCUGGAGUUCCAAAGAGGCAAUUGGCCAUCAGAAAGAAAAACAACUUAGUUAGAUGACUUCACACUAAACAUCUUGAGUCAAUUCAACAACUGAAAAUACUCUUUAUUCCAGAAAAAGGAUCUUAUAUAUAAUUUUCCCAUGAAAAACCACAGUUUUAUGGGAAAUGCAUUUGCCUUUGGUAUGUUGCUACAGUGAGUUGUCCUUGAUCACUUCUAAUCAUUUAAACAUUUUAGCUACGUGUGGUAUUAUUAUUUACUCUGACAUACAAACAAUACAGUACUGUGUCCUUUGCUCUGCUUUUUACCUGUGCUGGUCUCCUUUCCUUUUCUCUACGUCCAUUAGUUUGCAUUGGCCCUAAAAUGUUGACUAGACAAACAGAUCAUCUAACCUCACCCAGCCAGUCAUAUUUCAGCUAAUUACCUUGUGUGGUCCCAACCCCCAAGCAAUUUUCAUGUAAACAAGUUUCAGGAAUUGUAGAUAAUUCCCUUGCUGCUCUCAAGUUCAGACAGGUGUUUUCUUUGUUUUUGCGAAGGUUCUAUUCUGUGUCAUUAGUCUUUGUAAGUCAUUAUUUUUUGUUUUAACUGCUUUGAUCUAUUCACUAACUUCAAACUGGCCUUUCUAAGUAAAAGUUGACUCCUUUAUGUUUUCAUUGAUUGAUUUUUGUGUUAUAAUAAUGUUUGUAAACACAGCUUAGUUUCAUUCAGUUUUUCAUCUGUGCUCAAAUAAAUGAGAUUUCUACCACAGAUAAGACCCACAAAUCUUUCUUUCCCACUAGGAAAAGUACAGAUAAUCCUAUGGCAACAGCUGUCAGGUAAAAGCCCAGCCUAAAUCUCACUGAGGAUGCAUGUACUCCAGGGUGAGCUGGUCUGCAGCAGGCUCAGCUUCUGCAGGUUACAUUAUAGAGAAGAUUCAAAUGUUUCAGAAGAAUGAGAAAGGUGUCCAUUCCAAAUGCCAGCUUCCUCCCUGUGUGAGGGAGAGAAGUGAGUUCAGGUGAAGCAAAAUGUAGCCCCUGAAAUCUUCAUUCUUACUCUUACCUCCAACUUUUACCUUUCCAACCUUUCGUUUUCAGCUGUAGCUAGUCUUGGCUCAACUUUGGAAUUAGUACUUGUUUAUGGUAUCAGUGUGUACAAGCAUUCCUCAGUAUUCUCCAGCAGAAGCAGUUGGUCAUGAUCCUGACUUUUUAUAAGUAGUUCAAAGACUUCCACAAUCCUAGAGGAGAAGCAGGGUCUCUUGGUAUACAUAUCUUAUGAAGAAGAGUAAGCAAAUAUGCCGUCUAAAAAUGAUUUUAAAGGUCACAGCAAGUAACAGUAAAGUGCAGUAGUAUGUUGUGGUUACCAGUGAACUCUUCUCUCCUUACAUACUGAAAACUAAGGUGACAUGUUAGACUACUUCUAAAUUGAUUGGAUUUUGGGGUUUGAUUUGUCUAAAAUCCCUUUAAAAGAACUUUAAAAAAAAAAAAAAAGCUUCCAAAGGGAAGUUGUCAAACUAAAAUAUUUCUGAAUUUUAUUGCAUAUGGUGAGAAGCAUAGAGAAAAGAUACAAAAUCGCUGAGGGAAAUAAUGGUACUUAUCUAAAGCCUUUCAUCUCUGUAACUGGUCUGCACUGGUGUUCAUGAAGCUAUAUUAAUGUCAUUGUGAUCCUUGAAAUGAGCUAGGUGUUUUCUUCUGUUCAUAACAUGUAUUUUUUUAUUAUUAUUAUUUCCUAAGGAACGUUCUGUUAGAAGAAUAUCAUAAUAUAAUAUCAUAACUGAUAUUAGUAACACCUUCAUCAGUCACCAGUGGAAAAUCCAUGAAAUCCUUAACACAAAUUCUGUUGGUUUCAGGCAGGAGAACAGCACAGAUGCUGUAAGUUUCCAGGACCCAGCUGUCAAAUAGUGUGUGUAGAAAGCUAUGAUUUAGAAUUUCCUCUCUAAGGCUUCCCAGCAGUGAGCCUAAAUGCAGAAUGUGGGUUAGGGAGCCCACAUUCUCCCUGGGGAGAUGAAACAAACAUGCCCAGGAGCCAGAAAAGAAUCUUAUUUCUGUUCUCAUCUUAUUUACAGCCUGCUUUCAAACCAGCUGAGAUUUCCAUACUGUGAAACUUGGAUUCAGAUAAAAAUGACUUUGUGCUACUCUGAUCCUAAUUUUACUUCCAAGCUGUAGGGUUUUGUCCACCUCAGGGAAUAAUGCAAAAUAGAUGCAGGAUGAUUGUGGAAGAGUAUUUUUGCAACACUGUUGCCUUCAUGGUUGGAGAUUCUUGGUUUACUCAGUCGGCAAAUCAUUCGCGGCCUUCAUUGGAAUUUCUGCCUCUUAGAGCAAAGAUAAAUAAAUGAAAAAAUAUAUGUUUCCAAGAAACGGAAGUUGCAUAAACACGAUUUGACUUGACAAUAAAAUAGUGCUGACCUGACAGCGCCAUCAGGGCCUGAUGGACUAAAGCUUUAAUUCUCAAGAUCACAAGGCAGACCAGUGCAUAUAUUUCCAUCGCUGUCUUCAGCUUAGUUUCUAUGUGGAGGCAUUUACCUUGUCUUCUACUUCUAUCUCAGUGCUUUAUAGAGAAUGUUGGAGUAUGCUCUUACAUCCUUGCUGUGGAGUGUAGAGAGACAUUUUCCAAGUAAGCAUAAUAACUGCCUUCUCAAGGCAUAAUGCAGUGUACUGCCAGCACUGUCAGUAUAGGGGGAGUAGCUGUAGUGUUCCUACUGCUGUGAUGGUUGACAGAUAUGAGAAAGCACUCUUACUUUUCUGUGUCUUCUACCUACAUCACACAAAUGAACCAUUUCCCUCAACUUCUGUUUGUUAGUAAACUUAGAGAAAACACUGACAUAAAUUCAUUCAUGGUUAGGAUUUAAGUUAAUUCUCUUUCCUAGACUUCUGAACCAAUUAGGAUUUAGCUAACUGUUUAUUUUCCCCUCAACUUGCAGAUCUGGAAGCAGAGUAGAAGCAGACCCAGUUCAGUGUAAUCUGUAAUAUUACUUCCUUCCAUUUUCUCUCUUUUCCUGUGAAAUCUAGUUCCCCAGGGCCCACAAAUCUGGGACAAAUUGGCUGUUGAUAUUUUCCAAUUGUUUGUUGAUGGAAAAGGGUGUAAACUGAUCCAUGUAACUUGGAAAGUUUUAAAAUAUCUCUCCUAUGACAUACAAAGCCAUGCUUUGUCUUCAUGAAAUUAGAUUGUUCUCAUAAAGGCUUAACAAUACAGAGAAGUGUUAAAAAAAUGUGUUUUAUUAAUAUCAUAGUGUAGUAAUGUAAGGUCAUAGCAGCUGAGAAUUGCUUGAAUUUACUCCAGAUGUUGCUUAAAAAGCCCUGAUUUUUGACAGAUGUUUGAGAAUAAAAUAUAGAGCAUGGCGACAAAGGACUUUUGUAAAUGUUACUCUAUGUUACAAACUUCUCAUCGAGGUGCUAAGGCUCACUGAAGUUAUUUGGUGCAAUAGAGGAAAGUUUGUGCCCCUACUAAGGGAAGUGAGUUCAUCUGUAAUACCAGCUGCCAGAAAAUGCCACAUGGGAGAGAGAUGACAGCAAUCUGGAAAAUCACUCUGAUCAGACACUGUACUUUAAGAAGGAAAUAAAUUGCACUGUAUACAGAGCUGUAAGUAUCUGACCUUUGUGACCUUCACUGCCAACUGGUCUCUAAUUUAAAUGAACUGUGCUGCAAACGUCAUUGUUGAAAUAUUAUUUUGAUAAAAACAGAGCAAAAGGAGAUGGUUUAGAUUUAAGUUUGAAACAGGAGAAUUACAUAGUUUGCUAGAAAUCCAGAACUCUUUUUUUAUUCCUUUUGCUCUUCUUUUUUUUUUUAAUUGCAUGAAACCUGUAGAGCACCUUGCACCUGGCACUCCUGGAAUUAACGCUAUUAAAAUCUUUGCUUGUGCUUCUGACAAACAACUACUCUUCAUGCUGUACCCAAAGUCUCCAUUAAGAUUUACAACAACUGAAUUUAAAAUAGGAUUGUCUCUGCACUGAGGAAAACCAUUUGCAAAUAGCAUUUUAGUUUUCUUUCUCAACUAUUACUUUAAAAUUCUCAUUUAUGAAGCUGUUGGCAGGAGACAAAGUCUUAAGCUAAGUGCACAAUAGCAGUACAAACUUUGCUACUUGAGAAGUUCAAGGAGGUUAAGUUCUACUUGGUGAUGACUUUCCCCGCAAAUCUCAUUCUCAUGUUUUGAAUUUUCAGACUCUUCUCACUGUGUGGUCAAUGGAGCUGAAAGACAUGUUCUAGGUGAACGUGUCCUUACAUCUAAAUGUGUGUUUGAGUUUAUAUUCAACUACUGACUAUACAAGUCUAAUGUAUACCUUGUGCUGAAUCAGCCCGUUCCCUCCCCACCAGAUGUCCUGCACCCUUCUCUUGGAGAUAUUUUCUCUGCUUCCCAGUUACCAUGUAGCCCAAGUGUUUGUGCCUGGGUUGUUCCUGUGUACGUAAUAAAGACAGCUUCAGUUAGAGUUGAGAGGCAUUUCAGUGUCCUAAUUUAAACCAUCCUCACUAUGGUUGUCAGAGGAGGUGGCCACUCUUGUGAAAUAAAGACAAUUUCUCUUCCUCAGUUUCCUGUAGAAAGGAAGGACUGUGCUUGGAUGAGGUAAGCUGGAGCCUGAAACUUUCUGUUUGCUGACAGAAUGGAUAAGAAGUCAGAUGCAAUGUGAACUUCACGAAGGUCCGUCACAAACAAAGGCAGAUCAGUUAGAUUGUGAUUCAGAAAUGUGUUUAUGUAUGUCCUCUGCUUUGGACACUUGUCUGAUUCAAGUUUAAUUCUGAAACCUACCUGCGUUCUUAAAGCCAGGAGUAAUCUGGUGUGAGUGAAUCAGGGGAAUGGCUGUUUGUCCUGGUUUCAGUUGGGAGAGUUAAUUUUCUUCCUUGAGGCUGGUAUGGUGCUGUGUUUUGGAUUUAGGAUGAGAAUAAUGUUGAUAUCAAACCAACGUUUUGGCUGUUGCAGAACAGUGCUGCACAGAUCCAAGGAUGUUUCAGUUUCUCAGAGCUGGGGGUGCGCAAGAAGCUGAGAGGGACAGAGCCAGGACAGCUGACCCAGACUGAACAAAGAGAGAUCCCCUACCUUAUAAUGUCAUUGAACAGUAAAACGGGGAGUUGGCCAUGGGGUUGCCACUGACUGGGGACUGGCUGGGCAUCAGUUGGCAGGAGGUGAGCAAUUGCAUUGUGCAUCACUUGUUCUGUAUACUCUUCUUGUUAUCUUUUUUUCCUUUCCUAUUUUUUCUUAUUAAACUGUCCUUAUCCUCAACCCACAGGUUCUCAUGCUUCUACCUUUCUGAUACUCUCCCCUCAUCCCACUAGGAGGGAGAAGAGGGCAAAAGGUUGUGUGGUUCUGAGCUGGUUUAAACCACAGAAGUCCUUUUUGCACUGAGUGUGAGGUGUGAAAGACUGAGAUAAUAGCAGAUCUGACCAUAGUAUGUUAAAACAAAUUUGUUGUAAAAAUUAUGUUAGUUUAAUAUUUGCCGGUCACAUUGUUGAUUUAUUUUUUUCACAGUGUUGAUAUAUUUGUUGAUAUAGUUUCUGAUUUUCUUGAAUCUUUUCUUGUUGUUUAUCAUCUCCAGGGACUGGCCUAAGUUUGUUUACAAUUUUGCCAGUUUGUAUGUAGCAUGUGCUCAUAUUAGACUGACCAGGAACUUAAUCUGUUAUUUUCACUCACUUAAGGCUAUCAUUCUUGCACUUCAGGAGCCUUACAGUGAGAAUUAUUAAAAAAUACAGUGUUUACUCCAGGCACAUUAAAAUAGUUUUCAAAAAUUUUUGAAUACUCUUGGGAUAUUCACACUAGUGUGGUCCUGUUGCUAUGUCUUGUGCCACGUGCUUCAAUUUUUAUCUGUUGUUAAGCAGCUAUUUAAGAAUGCUACCCUGAGAUCUUCACUGAAACAGGAUGGUUAUGGGUGGCAAGGUGUGUAGGAGAAUAUAGGCAGGUAUUUAUCAGAGUUGUCAUCUUUGAUGGUUUUGGGAUUCAACUCUCAACAAGUAGAGAAUUCUAAAAAAAAAAGGUAUGCCCUCAUUCUGGCAAUGCCAGUGAUUUACAGCCCACUGCACUGUGCUGGAGUCUGGCUUGGACCUAUCAAGCAUUAUUCAACACUAUUCAGCACCUCCAAAAGGAAGAAAACAACCCUGGAUCUGACCCAACCUCUGCAACAGGCCCAGCUGCUGAACCAGAAAACCAACUCAUGCUGACAUCAUAUAUCCCUAUAUUCAAGAAGAAACAAGGGAACUGAAAGAUAAUUUGUUAAGGAAGACAAGAAACUUCUAAGUAGAAAGGGAAGGAAGAAAACAUGGACAAGGCAGGCUGUGCUGAAGAAAGGCCAUACAAGAAAGGGAGGAAGAAGCAGUAAAUGUGGCAGUAUUCACCCAAUCCCUAUCUCUGUGUGAGCUGAAACAUAUGCAAAAAGAUUCAGCCCUCCUCCAGGUGUGCACAUUGUCACCUGGCUGCUUUGAUGCUUGGAUAAUGGGGCUGAUAGCCUGGAAUUAGAGGGCAUGGAAGUGAAAGAUCUGGGAUCCCUCUCUAUGGAAAUGAGCAUUGACAAAGCAAUUAUAAAAAGAGGCACAACCCCUCAGACUCUUGAGGUGACUCUUGUUAUCUGUGAAAAAGGAUAUCCCUACAAGGAAGAUGUUCUAUGUAAACCAGACAACCAUGGAGAAAGAUAUCCGGUACCUGAGGGAAUUAGGCACUCUGGAGGUGAUGUGUUAUGACCUGGACAGUGAGCAUUUAUCACAAGAUCCAGAUAGUGUCAAAAGCAUUUGAUGCAUGUGGAAUAAAUUUGUAUAGAGGACAGUGUCGUCCUGUGCCAUCACACUGUCUGUAAUGAUCUGGAAAAAGAGAGAGGAACUGACAGCGCAUGAAUUGGCUAGCCAACUCCAUCAGUAUGAAGAAAGUCUCUCUCUUCCUCCUUAUGGGCCUGCAUCUCGACUGCUGAGAAACUGGUUCAGGAACUCAAAGAGAGAGAAUGUCUUUUCUCCCAUCUGUACAGAGCAGAAUCUCAGCUACUAGGAGUAAACAUUCUUCUCAAGAGAGCUGCAACCAGAUGAGGUGAACACUACCUCAUAUCUGCUAUUGAUCUGUGGAUGACUUUAGGCAAAUCGGGCAAUGUUUAUGACUUUCUUUACUCUCUGAGACUCUUUUAGUCAACUGCGAAUUUCCUGGAGCUCCUUGGAUGAAAGUCUAUGUAAGUACAAAAUGAAAUAUUGUAUUGUGAUAUAAUUCAGUGAGAGGAAAAUAGUUCUUCUGCUUAACUUUUUGUGAUAUAUUAAACCUUUUUCUUUUUGAAAUUUGAAUUUUAUUAAAGUCAGUGAGAUCUCAAAGUACUUUUUGUAAUUUGAUCUUUGAAACAUCUUUUAAUAACAGAAAUAACAUUCUGCUUCUGCUAUAAAAGGAUUGUUUUCAACCCCUGUUUAAAUGAAUCCUGUGAUGUACCAUGUCAGACAGUCAGGUGAUGGCUGUUUUUCGUCACUGAAGAUGCUGUAUAACCACAGUGCUGCUCAUGAUUUUAACACCAUGAUACAAGGGAUGAACAAGCAUCUUUUUCUUGAUCUAAAACACAUGACAUAGUGUGGUACAGAGGUUCAUUUCAACUUCUUGCAUGACACUUUUGAACCUGUUUCCACAUAUUUAUUGGCAGCAUUGAUUUUGACCUCUGCUUGUACUGCCAAAGCAUUUUAGGACAAAAACAGUGAGCGAAAAUGUUAACUUUUCACUUGAACUUAGAUCACAUUCUAUUUUACAUCAAGUGACAGGGUUAAAUAAACUUCAUAGUGUUACUGAGCUCAGUGUGACAAAAUGACAUUUGAGAUAAAACUGAAUACUGAUAAAAUCAUGAGAAGUAUCUCAUUUGUACUGUCUGAUUUAUGAAAGAGUAAAUUCUUUUGAUUUUUCUCUUUUCUUCCUCUUUGGAAUAGUAUUUCUCACACAUUUCCAGAAAUGUAGAAUGUAAUCCAAAUGGCCCUCUUUUUCACUAUUUAUACAUAUGUCUUACAUAUAUGAGUGGGGUCUACCUGGGGACUAACUUUGACAUUAUCACAUUCCUGAAGAAGAGUGGCUACUGGGAGACACAGAAGUGUCAGAUGCCAAGGAGUGAGCAUUGCAUGCUAACAGCCCCAGCAUCAUACUGUGUAUUAUUAUGUAUUAUAACUUGCCUCUGCAGUAUAUAUGUUUUUGUUUACCCCCUUAGCCUUUCUCCUUUUCAACAUGUUGUGCCUUCCAGCACCUUUGUCCUUGAGUUCCUCCAUCCCUCUCUCUCUCUCUCUCUCUUCCUGGCAGUCAGACCACCCUACUGCAGCUUUGGCCAUCCCUCUAACCUUCAAUUUCUGUCCUGAAAUACAUGAAUGCUGAAAGGCCAUUAUCAUCUCCAGUGUACUGCAAAUGAAAACAAAACAAUCAUGCCACCUUCUUUGGACAUCUCUGCCUGCAGGAAAAUAUGAUUCCUACACCACAAGGCUGGUCAGGUGCCUGCAGUUUGUUGGAUCUCUAAGUACAAUUAGAAGACAAACUCCUUGAAGCACAGCCUAACCCUAGGCUAUCACUUAUAUUAUAGCCUGAGUGUGCCAUCCGCACAAAGCUCAUAGCAGCAGGCAUAAUACUAGCCCACAAAAAUUAAGAACUGUUAUGUUGUUAAACUCUUUCCAAGGUGAAGGUUUCUAUAGUAAAGCGUGUAUGGAAUUCUGUGUCAUACUGAAGGAAGAGGAAUAAGUCAUGUUAAAGAGUUACUAAUGUGUAUGGAGAAAAUUAUUUAAAAAUAAAUAAAAUAAAUAAAUAAAAUUAUUUACAAAUAACUUUAUCCAGGUCCUCAAAUUUGGGCAUAG
rnacentral:lncRNA from 1 species